rnacentral:rRNA from 1 species
GAGACCCGUACCCACAGUUGCCAGCGGCUGCUCCGGCAGGCUGGGUACACUGUGGGGACCGCCUCUGCUAAAGAGGAGGAAGGAGCGGGCGACGGUAGGUCAGUAUGCCCCGAAUUCUCCGGGCUACACGCGGGCUACAAUGGAUGGGACAAUGGGCUCCGACACCGAAAGGUGAAGGCAAUCUCUUAAACCCAUUCUUAGUUCGGAUUGAGGGCUGAAACUCGCCCUCAUGAAGCUGGAAUCCGUAGUAAUCGCGUUUCAACAUAGCGCGGUGAAUAC